rnacentral:rRNA from 1 species
AUUGAACGCUGGCGGCAGGCCUAACACAUGCAAGUCGAACGAGUGGCGGACGGGUGAGUAAUGUCUGGGAAACUGCCUGAUGGAGGGGGAUAACUACUGGAACCGGUAGCUAAUACCGCCUACCAUCAGUUGUGUCCAGGUGGGAUUAGCUAGUGGGUGGGGUAACGGCUCACCAGGGAGACGAUCCCUACCUGGUCUGAGAGGAUGACCAGCCACACUGGAACUGAGACACGGUCCAGACUCCUACGGGAGGCAGCAGUGGGGAAUAUUGGACAAUGGGCGAAAGCCUGAUGCAGCAAUGCCGCGUGUAUGAAGAAGGCUUUCGGAUUGUAAAGUACUUUCAGCGGGGAGGCGUUACCCGCAGAAGAAGCACCGGCUAACUCCGUGCCAGCAGCCGCGGUAAUAC